rnacentral:rRNA from 1 species
UACGUAGGAGGCAAGCGUUGUCCGGAAUUACUGGGCGUAAAGCGUGCGCAGGCGGUUGGCAAAGUCAGCUGUGAAAGCCCCGGGCUUAACCUGGGAAUGGCGGUUGAAACUAGUCGACUAGAAUCUGGCAGAGGGGGGUGGAAUUCCACGUGUAGCAGUGAAAUGCGUAGAGAUGUGGAGGAACACCGAUGGCGAAGGCAGCCCCCUGGGCUGAGAUUGACGCUCAGGCACGAAAGCGUGGGGAGCAAACAGG